UUAUAGUACGCUUGCUACGUACCACUAAAUUGAAACCGACGAAGAUGAAACUAAUAUAAAUAAAUAGGCACAAGCCUGACGAAGAGAAAAUACAAUGAUGAAGUAAGCAAGUUAAAUAUACAAUGAAUGAAAUAGAAAUGAAUUUGAGAUAAAUACCGAAACGAUGACCUAAAUUAACCGAACAAAUGGAAUAAAGCUAAUAACAAUAAAAUAUUUGGGAAACAAGCAAGUAACAUUACAAAAUAAAUAUCAAACCAAUAAUAAAAUACAAAACCUAAUUUUCUAGGGACUGAUUACCUUGUGCACAAUGUAACGUACCAUAUGAUCCUAAAUAAGUUUGGGAACCUAAUACAUACAUUAAUAAACAAAUAUGUUAUAUAAAAAAAAUACAGGCAGCUAAAUCUGAAAAAAUAUUAAUAAACAUAGUGCAUUACCAAAAGUCCGAAAUAUAAAACACAAAAGUUACUCAAAUUACCAAACUGAGUGUUCCCAAACAAACCCAUUCCUCAAAUGUAUAACCAACAGGUUCCCAGAAAAUGAGCACGAGGAUAGUGCCAAACCAUGGUUCCUGUAAGCACAGGUGUAGACAGAAAAUGAAGCUGGAACGCUUCGCUUGCUCCCAGGUGACCGACUAAUCUAUGUAGCCGGAAUAGGUUCCUCUCAGGUGGGUGAGGGUCUAUGAUUUCUCAUCUUCGUUUUAUAUUAUUUCCCCAAAAGGCGGGAACAAACUCCUAGUGGACUGCCAUUUUCCCUGGUUCAAGACACAGCUGGAUACUAUAAUAUUAUUUUUAAGACAAACUGGGAACUGUAGACACAAAUGCUUAAUUAAUUUAUGGAGAUAUUCUCCGCCAUUUUGGGUACUGGUACUUCACUAUUCCGGCUCCACGUCCACGAGUCAAGUAACGAGCGAAAUGUGCUUCUCCCUAAAGUAAACGUCAAACUCUCAGAACUCGAGGUCAUAUUCGCCACCAGAGGAGUAGAGCAUGUUCCGUACAUAGAAAUGUGACGUCACGUAAAUAUUUAAUUACGACAAAAUUAGAGAAUUUAAUUAAGCGACCAAAAGAAAAUAAUUA
rnacentral:lncRNA from 1 species